rnacentral:rRNA from 1 species
AGAGUUUGAUCCUGGUUCAGGAUGAACGCUGGCGGCGUGCUUAACACAUGCAAGUCGAACGAUGAACUCCAGCUUGCUGGGGGGAUUAGUGGCGAACGGGUGAGUAACACGUGAGUAACCUGCCCUUGACUCUGGGAUAAGCACUGGAAACGGUGUCUAAUACCGGAUACGACCCUCAACCGCAUGGUUAGGGGGUGGAAAGAAUUUUGGUCAAGGAUGGACUCGCGGCCUAUCAGGUAGUUGGUGAGAUAAUGGCUCACCAAGCCGACGACGGGUAGCCGGCCUGAGAGGGUGACCGGCCACACUGGGACUGAGACACGGCCCAGACUCCUACGGGAGGCAGCAGUGGGGAAUAUUGCACAAUGGGCGAAAGCCUGAUGCAGCAACGCCGCGUGAGGGAUGACGGCCUUCGGGUUGUAAACCUCUUUUAGUAGGGAAGAAGCGAAAGUGACGGUACCUGCAGAAAAAGCACCGGCUAACUACGUGCCAGCAGCCGCGGUAAUACGUAGGGUGCAAGCGUUAUCCGGAAUUAUUGGGCGUAAAGAGCUCGUAGGCGGUUUGUCGCGUCUGCUGUGAAAACUGGAGGCUCAACCUCCAGCCUGCAGUGGGUACGGGCAGACUAGAGUGCGGUAGGGGAGAUUGGAAUUCCUGGUGUAGCGGUGGAAUGCGCAGAUAUCAGGAGGAACACCGAUGGCGAAGGCAGAUCUCUGGGCCGUAACUGACGCUGAGGAGCGAAAGCAUGGGGGAGCGAACAGGAUUAGAUACCCUGGUAGUCCAUGCCGUAAACGUUGGGAACUAGAUGUAGGGGCCAUUCCACGGUUUCUGUGUCGCAGCUAACGCAUUAAGUUCCCCGCCUGGGGAGUACGGCCGCAAGGCUAAAACUCAAAGGAAUUGACGGGGGCCCGCACAAGCGGCGGAGCAUGCGGAUUAAUUCGAUGCAACGCGAAGAACCUUACCAAGGCUUGACAUAUACGAGAACGGGCUAGAAAUAGUCAACUCUUUGGACACUCGUAAACAGGUGGUGCAUGGUUGUCGUCAGCUCGUGUCGUGAGAUGUUGGGUUAAGUCCCGCAACGAGCGCAACCCUCGUUCUUUGUUGCCAGCACGUAAUGGUGGGAACUCAAAGGAGACUGCCGGGGUCAACUCGGAGGGAGGUGGGGAUGACGUCAAAUCAUCAUGCCCCUUAUGUCUUGGGCUUCACGCAUGCUACAAUGGCCGAUACAAAGGGCUGCAAUACCGUAAGGCGGAGCGAAUCCCAAAAAGUCGGUCUCAGUUCGGAUUGAGGUCUGCAACUCGACCUCAUGAAGUCGGAGUCGCUAGUAAUCGCAGAUCAGCAACGCUGCGGUGAAUACGUUCCCGGGCCUUGUACACACCGCCCGUCAAGUCAUGAAAGUCGGUAACACCCGAAGCCGGUGGCCCAACCCUGAGGAGGGAGC